UACGAAGGGGGCUAGCGUUGUUCGGAAUUACUGGGCGUAAAGCGCACGUAGGCGGGUUGUUAAGUCAGGGGUGAAAUCCCGGAGCUCAACUCCGGAACUGCCUUUGAUACUGGCAACCUAGAGACCGGAAGAGGUUAGUGGAAUUCCCAGUGUAGAGGUGAAAUUCGUAGAUAUUGGGAAGAACACCAGUGGCGAAGGCGGCUAACUGGUCCAGUACUGACGCUGAGGUGCGAAAGCGUGGGGAGCAAACAGG
rnacentral:rRNA from 1 species